UGCUAUUAGGAGCUUUUUCUUCUGUUUAUUUUGCUACAGGAUCACAUUUUUACUGGAGCCAAGUAGCAUGUUAACUUUUGAUUUCCAGAGGCCUUUGAAUGAUGAGGCUCGUGACAUGAAGCCCACUUCUUGAAGCACUGACUACGAUCAGAAGGUUAUCCAAACUCUUCGAGCCUCUUGAGACUCUAAAUUGGCUUGGAAGAGCCAGGCUACUUUCUGAAAUUUUGGCACUUCCUGAUCCCAGAGACGCUGCAAAUAACACGGCAACAGACUCUUACAUCAGAGGUUUCAAGGAUGAUUUACAAACCAGAAAAAGAAUUCUACAGCGCUCCAAGGAGGGCAUGAAUCCCAAGCCUGUCCAUCAGUUCAACAGGAGAAAAUGAGUUAGAGCCAGUGGGGAACAACAAUCAGGAGAACGGAACAAAAACAGGGCUGUAAUUAGUCUCUGGGCUACCUGCUAGCCUAUCAAGCAUCACCUCAUUCCUCCUGGGUGACAGGACAGCAGCAGUCGCCCCAAAUGACAGAUUCAGCUGUAUACAGCUCUGCAAAUGGAAAGUUCUUUGUGUGCAAGUCUGAGGCUGCAUACACACAUCCGUGAACUCUCCGAAAGCAAACUAGCUUUUAUAAUGCCAAAUUCCAAGAAAGAAACCAGCUCAGCAGCUGUGAAAGGUGUCUCUGUGUUUCAUUGUUGAUAAAAGUACAACCCACAGUGACUCAAACCUCAGGAUGUGGUAGGAAGCUGAGAAGAAAAGAAAGAUAGAGAGUGGGGGAAAAAGAGAACAAAACCUUUUCUCAGGAUGAGGGGUUCAGACAUGCCAGAUUUCUUUGGCACAGACAUUGCUGUCAUGAGCCUUGCAGACGUUUAAUGUUUGAUUCUCUGCUUUCUUCUCACUUGGCACUGAGCAUGAGGAGUUUGAAAACAGUAUUGCAAAGCGUUUAAAUUCUAAAGCUGAGCAAUGAGUGCCAUCAACAGCAUCUCCUUCAUAUACUGCAGGCAGGAACCUGCCAUGUGUGGACUGUCAUCAAUUGAUCAUUAACCUGUGUCUGCUCAUGGUGACAUAAACGUCAAUGAUCAUUUUCCUCCACUCCAACCCUUUCUUCAACUCUUCUGGGAAAGAAGACGGCAGCUGCCUGAAGGACAGGGAUUUGGUGUGGAAAAAGAGAAAAGGAAAAUCUAGCCUGGAAGCUGAAUACAGAAAUGAAAUAAGAGUGCAGCUACAAUACAGAUGAAGAGACAGCAGAAAAAUGUAAGAGAAUAAGAAAUGGAGCAAAUUUUGUGAAGGCUGUAUGGGCUUGUCCUUAGCAUUUACUGAUAGGAAUAAGACAGGAUCUCCUGUCAGAUUUAAUCAAAUUUGUUAGGUUGAUAAAUGCUGAUUCAGUGUUGAGAGACUGUGCCUGCUCCCCAGAGGAGGAUUAACAAAGGUGAGCCUGAGCCUCUGCAGUGCUGGUGCUGGGAAUCGAGGAGCUACUCAGACAAGGCACCUUGAAGGUAACUAAGAAAACCACGUUACUGAUAGAUUCACCUUACUACACCUCCUCCCUCGGGCCAUUACAGAGGCCCAAAAGGUCCACAAUGGAGAGAGACUGAAAACUAAUGCUCUGUCGUCAGUGAAGAGGAGCUGCGCUUCAAAGGCUGGUUUAGAGCAGGAGCCGAACCAAGCUGCUCUGCAUCAUCUUUACCGGUGAUGACAGGAGUGGGACUUCAGUGUCCCUGGGGCAAAGCCUGCCUUUGAGAAUAGCAGGCUGUGUCUGGUUGCUUUUAACCUCCAAAGAGUUUAAAUAAGUCACGUGAGCUCUGAGUGGCUGGAAAGGACAGGAAUAAUUGCAGUGGUGCUACCAAGAUACCUUGGCAGUCACUGAUACCUGAUCUAUACCAUGCAUUGUUGUCUUUGGUCUUUAUUGGCCAAUAAUUCAUAGAAACUGACUGCAAUCGAGACUGUAUCACAUGUAGCUUCUCCAGGGACUUCUGACAAUGAGCACGGGGAGAAGCCAUAGCCUUGGCAUAAGCAGAAAUGUAAGCUAGCUACUGCCACUUGCUGCUUCUUUUCUUUUGGCUCAGCUCUGAAGCAUUGUAACCUCACAUUACAAAGCCAAAUGAAAAAAUAUUCAUUUUAAUAUUCAAUAUUCAAAUAUUCAUAUACACAUAUACACUUAUGUACAUGUGUGAGGAUACAGCAUAUACAUAACAUGUUCAUUUAUCAGUGCAUUUCCUAAAUGGCUGUGUUGUUUUAAUAGUGCUAUCCCUUUAUCUCCACAAGUAAAUGACACUACUAGAUCUGAUCUCUAACUGCAUUCUGAAGACAAAUAAACUCCCGAAUGUUUCUGGGUAUCUGUCAUUAGAUUAAAAGCCAAAUAAAACAACUAAAAGAAAACAAAGUUGUCUCACUGUGCACUUGCAGGUGGUUGUGCGUAGAACUGAGUAAAUCAGUCAUUGCAAAUAUUUGAUGAUUUUAGACCUCUCUCACUUCUCUCCAUGUCCUGUGAACAGGCUUUAUUUUUUGUACAUAAUUAUAGUCCUCAAGAAUUUUGAUAGGUAUUUUAUAUACACAUGUUUCAACACAAUGUAAUAAAGUAGCUUUUAGCUAUAUUCAGGGCUGUUAGUGGUAUUUUUUUGUGACAUUCAUCAGGUCCUGUAAAUCAUGUGGUUCUGCACAUGCUUAGAUUUGGACAACUGAAAACACCAUAAAACAGAGGUUGAAAAAAUCAGAGAUUUUAGGUGAUCACAUCGGCGCUUGCCUAAAUUGUUGCAAGGAAGAAAGAGUGGACAGCAUGACUCAGUGUUGCUUUAAAAAAAAAAGAAUGGGUGAUUUUAAUCCCUCAUAAAUGUUUUUUAGUUUCAAAUUAUGAUGACAUUUUAGUUAAUUUUUAAUAGCAUAGCACACAUUCAAGGAUAUUUUAUCUUUACUCAUUUAUUGUUGAUGAUU